CCUACGGGUGGCAGCAGUGGGGAAUAUUGCGCAAUGGGCGAAAGCCUGACGCAGCGACGCAGCGUGAGGGAUGAAGGUCUUCGGAGCGUAAACCUCUGUCAGCAGGGAAGAACGGUCACGGUGCUAAUCAGCCGUGAAUUGACGGUACCUGCAAAGGAAGCACCGGCUAACUCCGUGACAGCAGCCGCGGUAAUACGGAGGGUGCGAGCGUUAAUCGGAAUUACUGGUUGAAAAGCGCGCGUAGGCGGUAUGUCAAGUCAAGUGGGAAAUCCCCGAGCUCAACGUGGGAACUGCCUUUGAAACUGGCAACCUUGAGUUUGUGAGAGGAUAGUGGAAUUCCAGGUGUAGCGGUGAAAUCCGUAGAUAUCUGGAGGAACAUCAGUGGCGAAGGCGACUAUCUGGCACAUAACUGACGCUGAGGAGCGAAAGCGUGGGUAGCAAACAGGAUUAGAUACCCUAGUAGUC
rnacentral:rRNA from 1 species